UACGUAGGGUGCGAGCGUUGUCCGGAAUUAUUGGGCGUAAGGAGCUUGUAGGCGGUUUGUCGCGUCUGCUGUGAAAAUCCGGGGCUCAACCCCGGACUUGCAGUGGGUACGGGCAGACUGGAGUGUGGUAGGGGGAGACUGGAAUUCCUGGUGUAGCGGUGGAAUGCGCAGAUAUCGGGAGGAACACCAAUGGCGAAGGCAGCUCGCUGGGACGUUACUGACGCUGAGACGCGAAAGCGUGGGGAGCAAACAGG
rnacentral:rRNA from 1 species